ACAGAACCCUAUUUGAGAUCGUCCAUCUCUCCCAAAACAAAGGCACCGUACAAUUCCAUUAAGCAUCUCUCCCGUAUCCAUUUGGCGUAGAAAAGGCGGGAAACGGAGCCCUCGGCGCGGGAAUUUCGUCUUGCUUCCUUCGUUUCCCUUUACUGACCGCGUCCUACAUCCUAGGUCUCAGUUUAGGGCUUUUCUCGCUCGAACGCGAUGACGGCUGCCGGAACCCUAGAUCUCUUCCCACAGGUCCAGACACUCGUCCUCGACAAGCUUCAAGUGGUUUCCUACAAGUGGCUUAGUCGCAACUUUUCGGUGUCAUCAAAUGAUGCAAAGAGGUUGCUUCAAGAGUUUGUGGAAAAGCAUUGUGAUGAGCUGGAGGUGAUAUACACUGUGUCUGGAUGGUCGAAGAAUGACCCUCAAACCUAUUGUGUAAAACUAGCUUCAAAGCAUAAGCUGCAAGACAUCAAACAUAUAUUUGAAGAAAAUUACUCAGUUCAGGUUUACAGUGUCCAAGCAUGCAUUCCUAAUGAUCUUGCAGUUAUCUGGAAUGCUGAAUUUGUGCAGUCAGAAGAACUCUUUAGUCAUCCCUCAACUGAAGAGAACUGCUUGAGGGACAACAGGUUCAGUGCCAUUUCAAACCAGGCUGUCAAACGCACCAUUGACAGAAAUUAUGUUGCUGCUGCUGCACCACGACCCAAGAACGGUAUGGCAGAGUCAAAAACUACCAGCUCUAUGAAAGUCCAGUCUGUUCAGCCUCUCCAGCAUGGUAUGCCUGAGAAGUCUAGUAUUAGAAAUGUAAUGCAGGCUGCUACAGUGUCAAGUGGUCAAAAUGAGAUAAAUAGUCUACAUGCAUCCACCAAGGCUACUGAGCCUGAUAUUGUUAAAGAGGCUAUUCAUGGUGGUAAUUCUAGCAAAACUAAAGGUCAAAAUGAGAAGGGUUCAUCAGGGACUACUGGAUCACUUGCGAGUCUGUGGACCAAUGCUUCAACGAAAUCAAAGACUGCUGCUGCUGCUGCUGCUACUGAAAUCACCAUUAAUGCCCCAAAUGCUGCUGCUACUGCUGAAGCUCAAAUUUGUGCACAAGAAGCCCUGGAUGCCGCUAGCAGUGAAGAUGAGGCUGAUACAACAAUUUUCAGGCGAGACACAAAUGGAUCAAGUGGACGAAAGAGAAGGGUUGUUUUAGAUACCUCAGAUGAUGAUGAUGAAGAUGAAAAUGUUGUUAGUCUUGCACCUCCAGAUCUACCUAAAAGCAAGCAUGUUGCAGAUUCCUGUCCUACAAACGGGAGCUUUUUGGAGACAAGAAAAUCAAACAUUGAAGAGCUGAAAGGGGAUGUAUUGAAGGAGACACAAGACAUCAUGGAAAAGAAAGAACCUUUGCCAUUAUCAAAUGGCGAUAAAAGUGGAAGCAUAACUGCUGGAGGAAUCUCUUUAAAACCAAAGAUCAAUUGCCAUAGUCAAGAAGAAGCUGACUGGAAUAAGAAGGAUGAGCUCCCUCAGUCCACUUCCAGUUUGCCCAAAAGAAGAAAAGUGCUUAAAACUCGAAUUGAUGAUCGAGGGAGAGAAGUUACUGAGGUUGUUUGGGAGGGAGAAACUCUAGAUAAUAAAAAAUCAGACAAGGAUAUAUCCACAGGUGAUGCUGCAAACAGACCACCUGUGGUUAACAAAGCACAGGCACCAGGAAAGGUUGCUCCAACUCAUCCUGGGGGCAAAAAUGCCAGCAAGAAAUCUGGGAAAGGUGGUCCAAAAGAUGCUAAGCAAGGAAAUAUUUUGUCGUUCUUCAAGAAGGUUUAAGUCCAUCCUUUUUAGGAAUUGUUCCACCAAAAGCAGUAUGAAAAGUUCAUCUUCAUCUUUGAGGGAUUCGGGAAGGCAAGCUUCUUCAUGUUACCAAAACUUUGCCUGCCCUUUCACGCACUUUAAUUGUGUAGAGAGUUGGGUCCACAAUUGCGGUUCACUUGUAAAAUUAUGUGUGCGUGAUCCUGUUUCAAGAAACUGGAAUUUAUGCCCUGUUGUAGCACGCUUGGCCUGAAACACUGGCGAUUGCUUAACAUCCACAUCACUUGUUUGGCCUGUCUAAAGCAGGAAGUAGACAUCAAUUUUGGUGCUGAAAGACGGCUUGCU